UACGAGGGGGGCAAGCGUUGUUCGGAAUUAUUGGGCGUAAAGGGCGCGUAGGCGGUUUGGCAAGUCUAGUGUGAAAUCUUCGGGCUCAACUCGAAGUCUGCACUGGAAACUGCCGGGCUUGAGUAUGGGAGAGGUGAGUGGAAUUUCCGGUGUAGCGGUGAAAUGCGUAGAUAUCGGAAGGAACACCGGUGGCGAAAGCGGCUCACUGGACCAUAACUGACGCUGAGGCGCGAAAGCUAGGGGAGCAAACAGG
rnacentral:rRNA from 1 species